rnacentral:rRNA from 1 species
GAGAGUUUGAUCCUGGCUCAGAUUGAACGCUGGCGGCAGGCCUAACACAUGCAAGUCGAGCGGAUGAAGGGAGCUUGCUCCUGGAUUCAGCGGCGGACGGGUGAGUAAUGCCUAGGAAUCUGCCUGGUAGUGGGGGAUAACGUCCGGAAACGGGCGCUAAUACCGCAUACGUCCUGAGGGAGAAAGUGGGGGAUCUUCGGACCUCACGCUAUCAGAUGAGCCUAGGUCGGAUUAGCUAGUUGGUGGGGUAAAGGCCUACCAAGGCGACGAUCCGUAACUGGUCUGAGAGGAUGAUCAGUCACACUGGAACUGAGACACGGUCCAGACUCCUACGGGAGGCAGCAGUGGGGAAUAUUGGACAAUGGGCGAAAGCCUGAUCCAGCCAUGCCGCGUGUGUGAAGAAGGUCUUCGGAUUGUAAAGCACUUUAAGUUGGGAGGAAGGGCAGUAAGUUAAUACCUUGCUGUUUUGACGUUACCAACAGAAUAAGCACCGGCUAACUUCGUGCCAGCAGCCGCGGUAAUACGAAGGGUGCAAGCGUUAAUCGGAAUUACUGGGCGUAAAGCGCGCGUAGGUGGUUCAGCAAGUUGGAUGUGAAAUCCCCGGGCUCAACCUGGGAACUGCAUCCAAAACUACUGAGCUAGAGUACGGUAGAGGGUGGUGGAAUUUCCUGUGUAGCGGUGAAAUGCGUAGAUAUAGGAAGGAACACCAGUGGCGAAGGCGACCACCUGGACUGAUACUGACACUGAGGUGCGAAAGCGUGGGGAGCAAACAGGAUUAGAUACCCUGGUAGUCCACGCCGUAAACGAUGUCGACUAGCCGUUGGGAUCCUUGAGAUCUUAGUGGCGCAGCUAACGCGAUAAGUCGACCGCCUGGGGAGUACGGCCGCAGAGUUAAAACUCAA